UAGAAAUUAGUUAAUAAAUAACAUUAAAAUGUCAUUUUAAAAUAAUUAAAAAAUUAAUAUUUCUAA
rnacentral:tRNA from 1 species